UAAUAAUAAUAAUAAUAAUAAUACAUUUUAUUUAUACUGCACUUUAUAUUCAAGAAUCUCAAAGUGCUUCAGAGAAAAAAAUACCAAAAAACUAUUAAAAAAGGGGGAACCUCAAAGAAAGUUUAGCUGAAUGCUCUUUUAAAGAGAUGGGUUUUGAGGUUCCGUUUAAAAAGAGCUGUAGUCUGUGGAGCCCUCAGGUGGUCAGACUCGUUCCAUAGUCUAGGGGCAGCAGCAGAAAAGGCCCGAUCACCCAUGGUGCACAGCUUCGUAUGUCGGGUUUGGAGGGUGUGAGUGGAUCCUGAACGGAGUGUACGUGAGUUUGUCGGGGGGGUGAGGAGUUCCUGAAGGUAGAGGGGGGCAAGUCCGUGAAGGCACUGGUGGGUGAGGAGGGAGACCUUGUACUCAAUUCUGAGUGAGACAGGGAGCCAGUGCAGUGAUUUCAGGAUGGGGGUGAUGUGCUCAUGCUUGCGCACCCUCAUCAGGACCCUGGCAGCACUGUUUUGAAUGUAUUGGAGCCUCUGGAUGCUCUUGCCAGGGAUCCCAAUGAGGAGUGCAUUGCAGUAGUCCAACCUGGAGGAGACAAAGGCAUGGACGAGCUUCUCUGCAUCAGCCAGGGUGAGUGAUUGGCGGAGUUUGGCAAUGUUCCUGAGGUGGUAUAAAGCUGUCUUACAGAGGUGUUUGAUGUGGGUGUCAAAAUUAAGUUGUGGGUCCAUUUUAACACCGAGGUUUGUGACGGAUGUGGAAAGGGGGACGUUUUUGCCAGAGAAGGUGAUAUUGGUGAUGGUGGGGGAGCGGAGCUGAUGUGGCGUGCCAACAAGGAUGGCUUCCGUUUUAUGGCUGUUAAGUUGUAGGAAGUUGAGCUUCAUCCACGCCCCUAUCUCCUCCAGGCAGGUGGUCAGUGUGGAUGUUGGCAGAGGGGCAGAAGAAGUGGGGGUUGUCCUGAUGUAGAGCUGUGUAUCAUCAGCAUAGCAGUGGUAAGACAAGCCAUGCCUGCUAAUGACACUACCCAGGGGGAGCAUGUACAGUGAGAACAGUGUGACGUUGUUGGUGUGUGAUUUUGCUUUGCCCAGGGCAACGUGCUCAGUUCUGUCAGUGAGGUACGAGGUGAACCAGUUCUUUACAUUUCCUGAUAGUCCAAUGGUGUAUUGCAGGCGGUGAAGGAGAAUAUUGUGGUCAACCGUAUCAAAAGCAGCUGUUAAGUCCAGGAGGAUGAGGAGAGAUGGGGAGCCGGUGUCUGCUGCCAUCAGGAGGUCAUUUGUGACCCUGACCAAGGCUGUUUCUGUACUGUGGCCAUAGCGGAAACCAGACUGGAAUU